ACCUAGCCGCGGUAGUAGUGGAAAUCCUCGAACUACAUUGCCGCUAUUUUCUUGUUUAGAAAAGAGCGACUGCAAGAAGCUCCUUUUAUAAAAAUAGAAAAAAGGCAAAUGAGCGAGAGAUUGAAACGGAUAACGCGAUUAAGC
rnacentral:sRNA from 1 species